rnacentral:rRNA from 1 species
AGUGAACGCUGGCGGUAGGCCUAACACAUGCAAGUCGAACGGCAGCACAGUAAGAGCUUGCUCUUACGGGUGGCGAGUGGCGGACGGGUGAGGAAUACAUCGGAAUCUACUUUUUCGUGGGGGAUAACGAAGGGAAACUUACGCUAAUACCGCAUACGACCUACGGGUGAAGGCAGGGGAUCUUCGGACCUUGCGCGAUUGAAUGAGCCGAUGUCGGAUUAGCUAGUUGGCGGGGUAAAGGCCCACCAAGGCGACGAUCCGUAGCUGGUCUGAGAGGAUGAUCAGCCACACUGGAACUGAGACACGGUCCAGACUCCUACGGGAGGCAGCAGUGGGGAAUAUUGGACAAUGGGCGCAAGCCUGAUCCAGCCAUACCGCGUGUGUGAAGAAGGCCUUCGGGUUGUAAAGCCCUUUUGUUGGGAAAGAAAAGCAGCAGGUUAAUACCCCGCUGUGCUGACGGUACCCAAAGAAUAAGCACCGGCUAACUUCGUG